rnacentral:rRNA from 1 species
AUGACUAGGGAUAACCUUAGGAAGAGACACAUCAUCAAACCCCUUGAUUGUGUUUACUGCUUGGAACAAGAGUCUUGUUCUCACCUAUUUUUUGAAUGUAUAGUUGCUAAACAUCUCUGGGCCCACAUUGAGGAAUAUUUCUCUAGUCAGAUUGGCUCAUCCUUCGAAUCUGUCGCCAGAUUCUAGAUUGCUACCAAAAAGUGCUCAGUUUUAAACACUGUUAGCUCAGCUGUCCUUUGUUGCCUCUGGAAAUAUAGAAAUGCUAUGAUUUUCAGUAACACCUCCUGGAUUUCCAUUCCACAGGUCUUGAGGUUGAUCAGGAACAUGGUGAGGAACUGGGCGAUUCUCUCCUCCGGAUCGGACAAGGACAAGUUGAUGAGCUUCAUGGAAACCCUAACAAGAUCCCUCCAGGAACCGUUGGCGAUCACUUGUGGCUGA